UGUAAUUCAAUGCGAUCAUCAGCAAGAAGCUCGAAUAGUCUAAUAAUAACAUGCGAUGUCGGUCAUCUUUGCAUACGUAUGUUCCAUACCAGCGGCGACAUAUUGUGACUCAUUUAGGCAAUGUAUGCUAUACAUUCGUAUAGAGUGGCUACGACUAUAUGGCGAACAUGAGGGCUUGAGCUGUGCAUCUUCAUAUACGUGGGUACUGUAAUCAUCAUCCAACUAUCGUGUCAUUUCUUUCCAGACAUACUUCGUAGAAACAAUUCUUGUUUCUUGUUUCUUGUUUCCAGUAGACCAGACAUCCUGAUCCUUCGUUAGCCAAGAGAAAUGAGAAACUUCACUCUAGUCCACUCGGCGAAGACAAACCGUCUGCCGCUUGUUGGAUAGCACUCUGCUGCCUGGUGCAGGAUAAUAGGGGAUGUCAGGUGCUUGGGUUCGAUUAUUAUUUUUACGUGAAUGGAGGGUGCGGAUGGAACGAAACGAGGAGAACGCAUGGGAGGAAAACUGAUGAGGGGUAUGUCUGAAAGUUUCGAGAGAUCUUGUUGUAUCCAACAGGGUGAAAUGGUAUGUGAAGGGUCUACAUCAUCCAGCGUAAAGUGUGAGAGACUCUUGCAAUGAAAGAGGAACU
rnacentral:sRNA from 1 species